rnacentral:piRNA from 1 species
UCCCAUUUCGAAUUGUGGAAU